GCGGGGCAAGGGUAGGAAGGGCUUUCAACGCCAAACAGCUUCCUGUUCCUGCUCCUGGAGGCCGUUGGGAGCCACUGGAGGUUAUGGAGAAGGGGGAUGCAGAUAAGAAAGUCUGUUUCAAGUUCACGUGGAGACACAGAUGGACUGGACGAUUGUUCUCCAGGGGCUCCUGGCUGCAGUUGUUUCAUCAGAAGAUAAACAAAGAGUCUAAUCAGCAGGUGACAUGACUAGCAUGCAUUCUCAAGAGCCAGAACAGAAGAGGACACAAGAAGACAAAUUCCUUUCUGGUGAUGGAGACUGGUACUCUUAAGUCGUCUCUGAGGUACUCACAAGGUUUCCCAAAUGGCAGAGAGCCAGCUGAGCAAGGGUGAGAGCCCAAAGCAAAGGCCCAGCCUGGCCCAGACCAGCCCCAUUCUGCCCACAAAGAUCCACUCCCUCAUGGGCUUGUUUUAUGAAUGGCCCCAGAGGUGAUCUGCUCUGCUGAACUGCUCCUCUGGUUCACUGCAUUGCCCCUAACAUUUGGCUUGAGUGCAUGAAGCAAACUGGCUGUGGACAUCUCUUGGCUUGAUGACAUCCAGAGCAGCUACUCCUUGGAGACCAGACCCAGAAAGAAGUCGAUGGUGAAACCCCCAUCCUCAAGUGUCCAGAGUUCAGACAACCAACAAGAGAUUCCAAGAUGAAUAUGACCUUGGGUUCACUGUAGCUUAAGUGAAAACACUGUAAAGACAAAGACCUUGGAAGAAUUCUGUGAAAAUUCUGAUCAGUGCAGUGACAGAGCCUCUGGGCUUCCACAUGACGAAGAAUCCGACGAUGAAGGAUGCAGCAUUGGACACGGAGAGCAUUGGAAUACAUUUGGCUUGAUUGUGUACAUUCGUUACAGGGCUCUUGUUUUCAGUUUUUCUUUUCAGUUGAGGGUGGGAGGGAAA